GAACGACUCUCGGCAACGGAUAUCUCGGCUCUCGCAUCGAUGAAGAACGUAGCGAAAUGCGAUACUUGGUGUGAAUUGCAGAAUCCCGUGAACCAUCGAGUCUUUGAACGCAAGUUGCGCCCGAGGCCACUAGGCCGAGGGCACGUCUGCCUGGGUGUCACGC
rnacentral:rRNA from 1 species